rnacentral:lncRNA from 1 species
UGGUCUUCGGUGUUGCAUCUUGUGUCUAUAAAAUGAGCUGCUCUCAAUGUGUAGAUAAUCCUUUUUUUAUGAUAGAUCGUUAGCCAUGGAGAACUGCAAAUAUGUCGCUACUGCGCUCAAUGACAUUGUUGCCCUGAAUUUAUCAGGCGCUAUCGACAAAGGUCAGUGGGAAAAAGUUGUGAUGGACUAUCGUGCCAUGCAAUGCUGACUCUCUCUCACUCUGAAAAUAACACGUUUCGAAAUCAGUGGAAAGCAAAGGGCCAAACAAGCUGUGCAAACUAAACGGAAACAACACAGGAUGUCUUAUAAAAGUCGUUGCACUGUGCCGUGAAGCUUUCAUCCGUGUAUACAUACAGCAUCAAUUAGUAUAACACGCCUGACAGACAGCACUGUGACGGGUCAACAUCCCACAGGUGGUUGGACUGGAGGAUGGUAUGGUGCUGAUAAAAGCUAUUGCUGGCAACAACACCUGACUCCGUACUUCAGGCCGCUGCAACAGAUCAAGCAGUACCAGCGCUUCAGGUUUCAGCUGCUUCGCAACGCUGACAUCCUUCCUCCCAUAGAUGGUCUGCCUGUAAAAGCGCCAUCUGGACUGGACACAGCUCGACAAGAUCAGGGAGUUUUGCGACGAAGAGGCUAUGGACAUCACAUGCCCUGCACCAAAGUCAAUGGCAGGACUGAAACAGGCUCGCCGAAUAUAGAUUGCCUUGUCGUGCGUGGUUCGGAAGACCAGUCAUAAGCACUAUCU